rnacentral:rRNA from 1 species
GACGAACGCUGGCGGCGUGCUUAACACAUGCAAGUCGAACGGAAAGGCCCUGCUUGUGUGGGGUGCUCGAGUGGCGAACGGGUGAGUAACACGUGAGUAACCUGCCCUUGACUUUGGGAUAACUUCAGGAAACUGGGGCUAAUAUCGGAUAGGAGCCCCUGCUGCAUGGUGGGGGGUGGAAAGUUUCGGCGGUUGGGGAUGGACGCGCGGCUGAUCAGCUUGUUGGUGGGGUAGUGGCUUACCAAGGCUGUGACGGGUAGCCGGCCUGGGAGGGUGACCGGCCACAUUGGGACUAAGAGACGGCGCAGACUCCAACGGGAGACAGAAGUGGGGAAUAUUGCACAGUGGGCGGAAGCCUGAGGCAGCAACGCCGCGUGCGGGAUGACGGCCUUCGGGUUGUAAACCGCUUUCGCCUGUGACGAAGCGUGAGUGACGGUAAUGGAUAAAGAAGCACCGGCUAACUACGUG